AAUGAAGUGCCUGAAUAAAGGAUUAUUUUGAUAGAAUAAAUCAUGUAUUUUAAAUACCUUCAUUA
rnacentral:tRNA from 1 species